GCUGGGCGUGGUGGCGGAUGCCUGUAAUCCCAGCUACUCAGGAGGCUGAGGCAGGAGAGUCACUUGAACCUGGGAGGCAGAGGUUGCAGUGAGCUGAGACUGUGCCACUGCACUCCAGCCUGGGUGACAGAGUGAGAUCCUGUCUUUA
ensembl:misc_RNA Metazoa_SRP Metazoan signal recognition particle RNA